UUAUAUUAUGUUACAUAUACAUAUAUAUAUAUUGUAUUUUAUAUAAAAAAUAUUGAUUGAUCGAGUGAUAAUAUUAUACAUUAACUUUUUCCCUGUCAAUUGCCACCAGCUAUCUGCUAUAUUACUGAACGAUAACAAUAAACAAUUAAAGAAGAAACUUGCCGCAACGCGCGAGUAUCGAACGUUAGUGAACUUUAUGAUGGAAAUAUUCAAAUCUUGAUAUCAGCUAUCGUCGAUAACUGUAACAAGUUCUGAGAAGAAAAAAAUGUACGCGAAUAUAAAUUUUGCAUACGCAAACGGUUACAUAAAUGUUGUAAGAGUUCAACAGUUUAUUCGUAAGAUUGGUAAUAUUUCAUUGCGAAGCAAAAAGACGGAGAAUGUCAUCAACGGAAAUAACAUUCCAAGAACUAUUACUGCUGCUACUGACAAUAAUCCAACGUGGAUAGAAAAACAAAUAUCGCAUAAUUCAGCAAGUGCAAUUGUCUUCGGGGUCUACGCUGUACACCUGAUGCACUGCCGACAUGCUGACCAGCUACUGCAACUACUUGAUGAACAUCCACAGAUGAUGCAGCAAUUCUAGUCACCGAUAAAUAUCCUAAGGUUGGAUCGACAUCAUUGUAGCAACACAAACCAAGUCAGUGGAAAACAGAAGUAAAUACUGACAAAUAGGCAGGUCACGUUUACCUUGAAUUUACCAUAAUCACGUUGCACUUAUAUCCGAAAAUCAACUGGUUGACUAUUUUGGGUCACAUCUUGACCGCAAAGUAACAUGGAACCAGCAAACGACAAAGAGACCCAGCAAAUUCGAUUCAGGAGGAAAGCAAUGUUCUAGUUAACCGGUGGACGUUCUAAGUUCAGCAUAGAGGCAUAGUUACUUGUACAUAAGCGCAUUAUGAAAUCAAUCCUGGCAGUCAAUCAUAGAGCACGAAAGCGAAAAGCCUAUACAGCAAAGUUUGAAGCUCUUCAGCCAGGACCAAGCCAAGAGAAACGAUAGAAUUCGUGAAAAUCUGUAGACAAACUGUGUUACAGUUUGCAGGUAGCGUGCCUGUGCAGCCAGUACAGUUCAAGACUAAAGGACCAUCCCAUCUUGGUAGCCAGAGAUCUAUGCUCACGCAAUCAGCCUCGCAAAGUCCGGAGAGAACAUCUUGGUGGCUUUCUACAUCGACCAGUUACAACGACAACAAAUUGUAGGUGAGAAACAGUUACGUAUUGACACGAAUGAAAUAUAAUUUCGUACGGACGCCAUCCAAAGGGAUAGCUGUACACUUCCCGAAUGUCUGUGUCGUGAAUGAGUUUUGAACAGACUGUGAAGACUCUAGGAUACUAGAAAAAGAAAAAGGAGGAGAUUCAACAAGUCAUUCUAAUCGUGACCACGUUACUUGAUUCAAAUGAAAAAAAAAUGGCAAAGGAGGUAGAUGCAAACCAUUUUGAAAUCUUAUGGUCAUUGGUGACCCAAAAACAAACGAUGAUCGAGAGACCUCGUGAUAUUGCUUCUGACGUUGGUUUGGAAAAAAAUCGAACAUGCAAAACACGUGUCGAAGGAAAGAACGAGAUGUAAAAGACGAAAUGACGCUGACCCUUCGAUGGUCAUCUGCAAGACUCGCUCCUUAUUAUUCCGUGCAAGCUAACGAUGUGUUAGUGCAAGAUGAAGUUGACGUGGAAUUACCAAGGAAACUACGAGAGUUGGCGAACGGAUGCAAGAGAAAUCCUCAUGGACACUCUGCUGCUGCGACGACAGCAGAGUAG